CUUGUGGAGGAAUCCCCUUAGUGAAGUGGGCAUAGGAGCACAAGCUAUUCCAGAGAGAGCAGCUGGGGAGCAGGAAGGAUUGAUCCAGGAGACAAAAGAACCAAGUGAGUUGAUCUCUGUGAUGGGUCCUGGCCAGGCUGCUCAGUGAACGCUGAAAAGGAGACUAUAGUCCCAACGCGACCCAAAUAAGAAAUGGGAGGAAAGAAGGAAGAAGCAGAAGAACAUGAGGGGAUAUGGUUGCUGUAUACAAUAAACAUAAUAUAGUGAGUGCACUGUAUUGACAGAUCUUUCUUGCCUUUAACUUGCAUGUGA